GGGGGGUGCCCUAGCGGCGAACGGGUGAGUAACACGUGGGCAACCUGCCCUCAGCUCUGGGAUAACUCCAAGAAAUUGGUGCUAAUACCGGAUGUGACCGCUGACCGCAUGGUCUGGUGGUGGAAAGAUUCAUCGGCUGAGGAUGGGCCCGCGGCCUAUCAGCUUGUUGGUGGGGUGAUGGCCUACCAAGGCGACGACGGGUAGCCGGCCUGAGAGGGUGACCGGCCACACUGGGACUGAGACACGGCCCAGACUCCUACGGGAGGCAGCAGUGGGGAAUAUUGCGCAAUGGGCGAAAGCCUGACGCAGCGACGCCGCGUGGGGGAUGACGGCCUUCGGGUUGUAAACCUCUUUCAGUAGGGACGAAGCGCAAGUGACGGUACCUACAGAAGAAGCACCGGCCAACUACGUGCCAGCAGCCGCGGUAAUACGUAGGGUGCAAGCGUUGUCCGGAAUUAUUGGGCGUAAAGAGCUCGUAGGCGGUCUGUCGCGUCGGCUGUGAAAACCCGAGGCUCAACCUCGGGCCUGCAGUCGAUACGGGCAAACUAGAGUACUGCAGGGGAGACUGGAAUUCCUGGUGUAGCGGUGAAAUGCGCAGAUAUCAGGAGGAACACCGGUGGCGAAGGCGGGUCUCUGGGCAGUAACUGACGCUGAGGAGCG
rnacentral:rRNA from 1 species